ensembl:lncRNA
GGAGAUCACUACUCUUGGAGCCCUUCUACAAGCACAGGAUAUGGGUAAGGAACAGUGAAAAACGUGAUGGAGAAUACGAGGCAUCAAGAACAACAUUGGUCAUCUCCUUUGCUAGGCAGCAUUCCUGAAUUGGCUAGCAAGAGCUACCCCAAGUUUGAACUGUGUAACUACUUCUAUAGGGUUUCAGUUUUCACCUUACCAGCUGACUGUUGCAAGUGUGCGCGUACAUUUCUAGAAUAUUUGUUGUUCUGUGUAUAGAUGAUAUUAUGUCAAACAUAUCUGUAGUUUGACCUUCUAUCAUAAGGUAUAUGAGGCAAAGUGUUAAAAUUUGCUAGCUGUAUGUGAUGUUUCUCUAUGGUGUUUUUUUUGUUUUUGUUUAAUUCUGAAAAACAGUUGACAGAAAGAGCUAGUCAGAGUUAUAGCUUGUAUGUGACUUCUGCUCUCUAAGUCUGUAAACUUAAACUGUACACCAAAGGAAGUGUGACAGGAAAUGUGAUUAGUUCUUAAUAAAAUACUGCAAGAAAUAAAGGAAAACAGGAAAAAAGAGGAAAAAAUUGUGCUGCUAUAGAUAAUUUUAUCUUUUACUACCUAAAUACAAUGAGCAUUCCUGUCAAAACAACCUGUUGUUCUUAAUCUUGUUUUGAAAGUGUAGUUCUGUAAUCUUUGUGCAUUCUGAGAGAAACUAGCAAGGUGCCAUCCUCUUUGAAACAUCCUGCAGAUGAGACUAAUAACCAGAGUUAGAGUUAAUUAAUAUUUUAGUGGUAAUAAAAAAAGAUAGACAACUUCAAAGCCAACUAUAGUGCUUAUAUCUCUAUGUUCUGUUCCCAUGAGAUGAGAUUUCUCAACUCUAAAUAGUCCUAUUAUAUUAUAAGAACUAAUAGGUCCUGAUGAGCAGGAACCAAGC